AUUGAACGCUGGCGGCAGGCCUAACACAUGCAAGUCGAGCGGUAACAGGGGUAGCUUGCUACCCGCUGACGAGCGGCGGACGGGUGAGUAAUGCAUAGGAAUCUGCCCGAUAGUGGGGGAUAACCUGGGGAAACCCAGGCUAAUACCGCAUACGUCCUACGGGAGAAAGGGGGCUCCGGCUCCCGCUAUUGGAUGAGCCUAUGUCGGAUUAGCUAGUUGGUGAGGUAAUGGCUCACCAAGGCAACGAUCCGUAGCUGGUCUGAGAGGAUGAUCAGCCACAUCGGGACUGAGACACGGCCCGA
rnacentral:rRNA from 1 species